rnacentral:rRNA from 1 species
AUUGGACGCUGGCGGCAUGCUUUACACAUGCAAGUCGAACGGCAGCGCGGGCUUCGGCCUGGCGGCGAGUGGCGAACGGGUGAGUAAUGCAUCGGAACGUGCCCAGUAGUGGGGGAUAGCCCGGCGAAAGCCGGAUUAAUACCGCAUACGACCUGAGGGUGAAAGCGGGGGACCGAAAGGCCUCGAGCUAUUGGAGCGGCCGAUGUCGGAUUAGCUAGUUGGUGGGGUAAAGGCUUACCAAGGCGACGAUCCGUAGCUGGUCUGAGAGGACGACCAGCCACACUGGGACUGAGACACGGCCCAGACUCCUACGGGAGGCAGCAGUGGGGAAUUUUGGACAAUGGGGGCAACCCUGAUCCAGCCAUGCCGCGUGCGGGAAGAAGGCCUUCGGGUUGUAAACCGCUUUUGUUCGGGAAGAAAUCCUCUGGGCUAAUACCCCGGGGGGAUGACGGUACCGGAAGAAUAAGCACCGGCUAACUACGUG